CACCAAAAAAAGCAUGAGCACCCUGAUUUUAGGGGCUACUAUCGCUUUCAUGUGUUAUCGAGGGAGAGUUACAACUCUGACAAAUUAAUCGUUCAUGGCGUCUCUUUCACCAGCAUCCAAAUAAGUAAACUUUUUCUACUCCUCAAUUCAGAAUAUGUGUCAAAGGAGUUGUUGAUACGGCGGCCGGCAAGCGGAAGACGAAGAAGUUGAUGGAAUAAGAUAUUUAAUUUGUCAGGGUUGUGAUUCUCCUCCGAUACCAUAAGGAUGAUAGUAGCUGAUGAAACGUAUCUCAUGUGAUUUGAGCUGAUUCUAAUGGUUGCAGUUACUGUUGAAGCUGCAAAUUCGGUCAAUUUAUCUGGUGCAGUGUUCGAUUGAUUAUUGAAAUAGUGAAAUGCGACUGAGAUUUUUUCUGGGUUUGCUUUCAAUUUUGUGUUCAUUGAAUUGUGAUAUUAUUUAUUGUGUUCAACUGUUAAUUUAGGGAUUUACAAAAUGUGUCGAUUUUUCUACAAGAUUUAUCCUAAAUGACGGAUCUUGCUGGUUUGAUUUUGUUCAGAGUGUUAUUAUUUGUAAUUGUGUAUAAAAUGCUAAUCUGAUGAUGAUAUUUUGAAGGCUUUUUGAUGUGAUUUUAUU